rnacentral:rRNA from 1 species
GAGUUUGAUCGUGGCUCAGAUUGAACGCUGGCGGCAGGCUUAACACAUGCAAGUCGAGCGGGGGAGGUUGCUUCGGUAACUGACCUAGCGGCGAACGGGUGAGUAAUACUUAGGAAUCUGCCUAUUAAUGGGGACAACAUCUCGAAAGGGAUGCUAAUACCGCAUACGCCCUACGGGGAAAGCAGGGGAUCACUUGUGACCUUGCGUUAAUAGAUGAGCCUAAGUCGGAUUAGCUAGUUGGUGGGGUAAAGGCCUACCAAGGCGACGAUCUGUAGCGGGUCUGAGAGGAUGAUCCGCCACACUGGGACUGAGACACGGCCCAGACUCCUACGGGAGGCAGCAGUGGGGAAUAUUGGACAAUGGGGGAACCCUGAUCCAGCCAUGCCGCGUGUGUGAAGAAGGCCUUAUGGUUGUAAAGCACUUUAAGCGAGGAGGAGGCUCUUCUAGUUAAUACCUAGGAUGAGUGGACGUUACUCGCAGAAUAAGCACCGGCUAACUCUGUGCCAGCCGCCGCCGUAAUACCG